UACGAAGGGUGCAAGCGUUACUCGGAAUUACUGGGCGUAAAGCGUGCGUAGGUGGUUCGUUAAGUCUGAUGUGAAAGCCCUGGGCUCAACCUGGGAAUGGCAUUGGAAACUGGCGAUCUAGAGUGCGGUAGAGGGUAGUGGAAUUCCCGGUGUAGCAGUGAAAUGCGUAGAGAUCGGGAGGAACAUCUGUGGCGAAGGCGACUACCUGGCCUGUUCUUGACGCUGAGGCGCGAAAGCUAGGGGAGCAAACGGG
rnacentral:rRNA from 1 species